CCUACGGGGGGCAGCAGUGGGGAAUAUUGCACAAUGGGGGAAACCCUGAUGCAGCAACGCCGCGUGAGCGAUGAAGGCCUUCGGGUCGUGAAGCGCUGUCCUAAGGGAAGAAUACUGACGGUACCUUAGGAGGAAGCCCCGGCUAACUACGUGCUAGCAGCAGCGGUAAUGCGGAGGGGGCUAGUGCUAUGCGGAAUUACUGGGCGUAAAGGGUGCGGAGGCGGACCUUCAAGUCAGAGGUGAAAGGUUACGGCUCAACGGAAGUAAGCCUUUGAAAGUGUAGGGCUUGGGUGCAGCGGAGGGGAGUGGAAUGCCCGGUGUAGGGGUGAAGUGCGUGGAGAUUGGAGGGAACACCGGUUGCGAAGGCUGCUGUCGGGACUGUAGCAGACGCGGAGGCACGAAAGCGUGGGGAGCGAACAGGAUUAGAUACCCUGGUAGUC
rnacentral:rRNA from 1 species